AUGUAUAGCAAUAGCUACUUGCAUCAUAUUUACAAUGAUGCAAGAUCGACUAUGUCGAAUAAAAUUCUAGGCAGAAUUAUGAUAAUGACAUUGUCUGCCUAUGUGUCUUGACCAAAUUACGUGCCAGCAGUCGCGGUAAUACGUAGAAGACUAGUGUUAUUCAUGUUUAAUCGGUUUAAAGGGUACCUAGACGGUAAAUCAAGCCUAAAAGGAAAUAAAUGAAGGGACUAAUUUACUAGAGUUACUUAUGAGGGGGUAUUAAAGUACUGCUGGUGUAGAGAUGAAAUUCUGUCAUACCUCUUUUCAAUAGAAAAAUAAUGGCACAGGUAUAGGCGAAAGCAUCCCCUUAUGUGAUAACUGACGUUGAGGGACGAAGGCUUUGUGUAGCGAACAGGAUUAGAUACCCCAGUAGUCAAAGCAGAAAAUGAUGAAUGUCAUAGAUUAGAUAUAUAAGUUUAUUCUAUAAAUGAAAGUGUAAGCAUUCCACCUCAAGAGUAAUUUGGCAACAUUGGAACUGAAAUCAUUAGACCGUUUCUGAAACCAGUAGUGAAGUAUGUUGUUUAAUUUGAUGAUCCGCAAAAAACCUUACCACAAUUUGAAUAUUUAUAUUUUUUAUUGUUUUUCUUUUUAACUUUCUUCUGAUUUUCUACUUAAAAGAAAACAAUAACAAGAAAAAAGAGGCAAUAAGAUAUAUUUACAAGCGUUGCACGGCUGUCUUCAGUUAAUGUCGCGAGACUCUGGUUAGUUCCAUUAAAUUAACGUAAACCCUUACUUUAUUUUUAUAUAGAGUAGUU
rnacentral:rRNA from 1 species